GAGUGAGAGCUUGACUCUUUGAAAAGGAGACAGAUGGUUUGAAUUUACCGGCAUGAAUAUUACAAGCUUCAGGUGUCCCCAGAUGUUGUAAAAAGCAACAUUAGAAAUUGGUCACAAAUAAUAUGUCCAAAGGUAUCCAGGAAAACAAUGGCUUUUGCCUCUGCUACAGGUAGUCCUUAAUUACAUUUUACAGACACAGAAAUUCAGCACAAACUGGUCAAAACAGCUGUGGGGAAGUUUCUGCUUUGAAGGAAAUAUUACUGGUGCUCAAAGAUGUCAUCAACAGAUAUUAAAGAAGAUACAUCAGAAAAUAGGCCAAGGUGCAGUGCUCUUCAGGGGCUACAAAAGCUUUAGCUCUAUGCCCUGGUGUCAAGAGGAUUAAAUGUGAAUUUGAAAGUAAAGAAUGGAUGGGGAGUCAGUGGCUUUGAGCCAAGAUCCUCUCCAGCUGUGCAUUAAAAGAUGCUAUGGUGGAUCACUGAGAUGUUCUUCAGAGGUGGGCUUGCUGGAGCUUCAAGCCCAUGUGAAGGAAGGCAGGUUGAAAUUAUCUGGGAUCCCUUUUCACAGUGUGAAGUGACUGAUGUUGACAGCCAUUGUUCUGUUCACUAGUGCUGGACAGUAAAAGAUGGGAAUGUAAGAGCCAGUUCAAUAGAGCUCCACGAACUGGUGCUGAAGGGCCUUUGUUGCACCCCAGGUAUUCUGCUUGUCUCUGUUCUGCAUCCCUCCCUUCUUCCCUCCAUCCCAUUUUAGUUCACUUCCUGGCAUAGUCACUAACACUCUUGGCAUCUCUGGGCAGGCUUGUUAGAUACAUAUACAGUAAUACUUAAGCUGACCUAACAGAGUAAGCAGCAGAAUUUUGGGGUUUCUUUCAUGUAAGCUCUGGCUUUUGUGCCAUACAGCCUUUCACGGGUGGGUGGUAACUCACUGAAAUGGCAAUUCUUAGAAUUAGACACUCAAAACAAAAGACUUAUUUUUAAAUAACCAAAUCCAGCAAUCACAAAGAAUGUAGCUUUUGAAAAAUUGUCUUGUUUCCUUGAAUCACAUUUUCCUGCUAGUCCUCAUCCCUUUAUUGAUGACAGAUAGAAAAGGCUGUUGCUUGCGUUAGCUGUAAACUUCCCUUUGUCAGAAGCCUUUCCACCAUCUGUCACUGCAUAACUGUA